rnacentral:lncRNA from 15 species
CUUGUUCAGAUUCAGAAUCAACUUUAAUGGCCAAAGCCUGCUUCUGCAUACAAGGAAUUUAACUGGUUUACAAGUCGAGUCAAUUUUAUUUAAAUAGCGCCAAAUCACAACAGAAGUUAUCUCAUGACACUUUUCAUAUAGAGCAGGUCUAGACCAUACAGUAGUCUCUACUUAUAAAUAUCACAAAAAAGUAAUAGAAAAAAAUGAAAUUCAAUAAAAUAGGAAUAAUAGCAAUAGAAUAAUCGAAGGAAGUAUGUAUACAACAAUGUAUGUUCAGCCAUAACACCAUACAAAAGUGUUACAGCUGUCAUUGAAGUCACUGAACAUAAAACGAUGACAUAAUGUCAGCACAGAAUGAAAUAUCAGGCUACACACUACUGACACCUUGUGAUUGACUUCAGGUACUUUACAGCCAUGAAAAACAACCGCGUGCGUUUAUUGUUAUAGUUAUGAGUAAUCGCGUAGUAUUGAUUUGAACUUGGAUCUUAACUCAUAAAAACAAAUUAUAAACAUUUGCCACAAACGGGAUUUGAACUCGCGCCGCCUUUGUUUCUUCCCCCCUCCCCUUCCCCUUUUUCCUUCUUCUUCCCCUUCUCAUAUGGACAAUUGUUCUCCAGUUUAUUAAACUUUGGUAGGUAGAGAAUCUGUAAAAAGGAUUUUCUCUGGCCCCUCCCACUGACAUUGAACUCAACCAAUGAGAUUGUUUCUGUCUCCAGAGCAGAAAUGUUUGAGGAACUAAAAGCACAAUCAGCUUGAUGUUGAGGAGAAGGGCUGUGCAGCAGAGAGGCUCUUUAGUUUUUUCAUUCUACUGCAGUGGAGGAACAUUGCUCAUCUGCUGUCAGUUUGACUUUAACAACUCCAAAGACAUGUUGCUUUACCUCUUUUUACUUUUCUCUCACUUUAUAGCCCUGGGUUCCAUGAACAUCAUAAAGCCAGACAGUACUGAAGAACAUGUUGCAGAGGGAAGAAACAUCAACCUGACCUGUAAAUAUGACGGUGCCAUCUUCAGCAUUCAAUGGUACCGACAAUACCAGAGAUCCAGACCAGAGUUCCUGCUCUCCAUCACAGAGGGAGGAUCGAUUCAUCCAACUGAUUCUGAUUUCAAAGCUCACAUUAACAAAACCGAGAAACAUGUACAUCUGGAGAUCAUCUCAGCUAAAGUGACAGACUCUGCUGUGUACUACUGUGCUCUGCAGCCCACAGUGACAGGAAACACCAAAACUCUGUACAAAAACCUUUGGAGCAAAGACAACAGAAUACUCCACAACAUCCACUAGAGGGAGUCACACACUGUUAAACUUCACCUUGAACUUGGAAUCACACACCAUAGUGCAAAUGUUUAGUUCAACCAGUGGAUCUGAGAGUUUCUCAUAUUUAAAAAAUAAAUACAACAUGAACUGCACACAUAUACAGUUAAAAUUCAAUUCAAUUCAAUUCAAUUCAAUUUUAUUUGUAUAGCACCAAUUCAUAACAGAAGUUAUCUCAGGACACUUUUCAAAUAGAGCAGGUCGAGACCGAACUCUUUAUAACAUUAUUUACAGAGACCCAACAGUACCACCAUGAGCAAGACCUUGGAGACAAGGGCAAGGAAAAACUGCCUGUUAAAAGGCAGAAACCUAGGACAGAUCCUUCGGCUCUAGGUGGGUGGUCAUCUGUCUCGACCAGUUGGGGUGAGAGAGAGAGAGAGAGAGAGAGAGAGAGAGAGAGAGAGAGAGAGAGAGAGACAGACAGAAAGACAGACAGACAGACAGACAGGUGCACAGCAACAACAGUAUUGGCAAUGGCAAUCUAGCAGGACCAUGGCAGGAGGCUCCACCAGGAUCGAUAAGAACCUGCGAGAUGAGAAAGCACAAGAACUCUGGGGAAGAAGUGAAGUUAGUAACAUGCAUUAAUGUGACAUGAAUGAGUGCAGAAAGAGAGAGGAAGAGAGUAGCUCAGUGCACCAUGGGAAAUCCCGCGAUAGUCUAAUAUCUGCAUGGAUUGUGGAUUAAUCCGAAUCUGAAUCGGGCCAAGUCAUUUUCUACACAUACAAAGUACUAUUUAAAAUAGAAAGAUCUCCACCAGAGAUCAGCCCAAUGAGGGUGGUGUCAUCUGCAAACUUCAGGAGCCUGACAGAUUGGUGACUGGAGGUGCAGCUGUCUGUGUACAGAGAGAAGAGGAGAGGAAAAAGGACGAAGCCUUGGGGAGAUGCGGUGCUGAUGGUCCGAGAGUCAGAGACACACAUUUCCCCACCUUCAUGAAGUGGCCCAGGCUCCUGCUGAGGUGGUAGAACACAUUCACCUCGUUUGCUUGGCGCAAGUCGUUGAUGGAGUGGGGGAUUUAGGUUUGUAGUUGGUUAUCUGUCUGAGCCCUUUCCAGACAGAUCCAGAGUUGUUGGCUGAGAACUUGUGUUGAAGUUUCUCAGAGUACUGACGUUUACCUUCUGUCACCGCCUUGCUAAACUUGUACUUUGACUCCUUGAACCUGUCCCCACUCUUGAACGCUUGUUCCUUCUGCAGCUGUAAAUGUCUGAGUUUGGCUGUGAACCAGGUUGUCAUUGUUAUAACUCACCCUGGUGCGUGAUGGUAUACAGCAGUCCUCACAGAAGCUGAUGUAUGACGUCACAGCCUCUGUGUACUUGUCCACACUGUUAGUAGCAGUCCUGAACACAUCCCAGUCAGUAGAGUCCAAACACUCCUGAAGAUCCUCUGCAGCUUCACUGGUCCACUGUUUUUAUGUCCUCACAACAGGUUUAAAGAGCUUUAAUUUCUGCCUGUAUGAAGGAAUCAGGUGGACCAUGACGUGAUCAGAGAGGCCCAAUGCGGCGCGGGGGACAUGAUAAGCUCUGCUGACUGUAGUGUAACAGUGAUCCAGUAUGUUCUUCUCUCUGGUCGGGCAUUUAAUGAACUGUUUGUAUAUGGGGAGUUCGUGACUGAGGUUUCCUUUGUUAAAGUCACCAAGGACAAUAACUAU